GCAUAUCAAUAAGCGGAGGAAAAGAAACCAACAGGGAUUGCCUUUAGUAACUGCGAGUGAAGCGGCAAAAGCUCAAAUUUGAAAUCUGGCGCUUCCGGCGUCCGAAUUGUAAUUUGUAGAGGCUUCUUCGGGGCGGACACCGGUCCAAGUUCCUUGGAACAGGACGUCACAGAGGGUGAGAAUCCCGUGUCUGGCUGGUUGUUCCGCUCCAUGUGAAGAGUCUUCGACGAGUCGAGUUGUUUGGGAAUGCAGCUCAAAAUGGGUGGUAAAUUUCAUCUAAAGCUAAAUAUUGGCGAGAGACCGAUAGCGCACAAGUAGAGUGAUCGAAAGAUGAAAAGCACUUUGAAAAGAGAGUUAAAAAGUACGUGAAAUUGUUGAAAGGGAAGCGCUUGAGACCAGACUCGAUUUAUGGUGAUCAGCAGUCCUUCUGGGCUGUGCACUUGCCAUUCUUCGGGACAGCAUCGGUUCUGACCGUGUGAUAAAGGCCUAGGGAAUGUGGCUCCUCUCGGGGAGUGUUAUAGCCCUGGGCGUAAUGACAUGAGUUGGGACCGAGGACCGCGCUUCGGCUAGGAUGCUGUCAUAAUGGUCUUCAGCGACCCGUCUUGAAACACGGACCAAGGAGUCUAACAUCUAUGCGAGUGUUCGGGUGGAAAACCCUUGCGCGAAAUGAAAGUGAACGGAGGUGGGAACCUUUCGGGGUGCACCAUCGACCGAUCCUGAUGUCUUCGGAUGGAUUUGAGUAAGAGCAUAGCUGUUGGGACCCGAAAGAUGGUGAACUAUGCCUGAAUAGGGUGAAGCCAGAGGAAACAUCUGGUGGAGGCUCGCAGCGGUUCUGACGUGCAAAUCGAUUCGUCAAAUUUGGGUAAUAGGGGCGAAAGACUAAUCGAACCAUCUAGUAGCUGGUUCCUGCCGAAG
rnacentral:rRNA from 1 species